ACGGCGCGCAUUGAGACCCGCCGCUCCAUAGAGGUGGGCGCGUGGGAGCAUCCGCGCUCCAAGA
rfam:Trypanosoma congolense IL3000, WGS project CAEQ01000000 data, contig: 132